UACGAAGGGGACUAGCGUUGUUCGGAAUUACUGGGCGUAAAGCGCACGUAGGCGGAUUUGUAAGUCAGGGGUGAAAUCCCGGGGCUCAACCUCGGAACUGCCUUUGAUACUGCAAGUCUCGAGUCCGAUAGAGGUGGGCGGAAUUCCUAGUGUAGAGGUGAAAUUCGUAGAUAUUAGGAAGAACACCGGUGGCGAAGGCGGCCCACUGGAUCGGUACUGACGCUGAGGUGCGAAAGCGUGGGGAGCAAACAGG
rnacentral:rRNA from 1 species